GAUAAUGUAGUGCGGAAGAGGAGUAUGCAGCAGGCCCCCCACAGAGAGAGACACCCACAGGCUGGAAGGUGUUUUGGCAAGGCAGUGGCAGAAGGUAGCUUCCAAACAGCGUUUCUGAACCAGAGAACAGUAGUAGGAGACGACGGAUGACCCCGUUAUCGGUCUAAUGAGGAAUGUUUUUACAUUUGAAUGAAGGUGGUACCACGGCAGCAUUGUCGUCCUUUGC
rnacentral:ncRNA from 1 species